rnacentral:lncRNA from 1 species
UUUGGUGCAAAUAAAGAACGCAGGAGCCUUGUCUCCUACUGGGCUGUCAGUGAGGAAAAGGAGGAAAGACAGGUUAGCUGGGGAUGAUGACGGAUCUGAAGCAAAGCCAUUCAGUGAGGCUGAAUGAUGGACCCUUCAUGCCAGUGCUGGGAUUUGGCACUUAUGCUCCUGAUCAUACUCCCAAAAGCCAGGCUGCCGAGGCCACCAAAGUGGCUAUUGACGUAGGCUUCCGCCAUAUUGAUUCAGCAUACUUAUACCAAAAUGAGGAGGAGGUUGGACAGGCCAUUUGGGAGAAGAUCGCUGAUGGUACCGUCAAGAGAGAGGAAAUAUUCUACACCAUCAAGCUUUGGGCUACUUUCUUUCGGGCAGAAUUGGUUCACCCGGCCCUAGAAAGGUCACUGAAGAAACUUGGACCGGACUAUGUAGAUCUCUUCAUUAUUCAUGUACCAUUUGCUAUGAAGGGUUCUUCCUGAGAGAGGCAGAUUUGAGUGAGGUGCAUAGGAUUGCCAAAACUUUCCCUGGGAAAGAAUUACUGCCAAAGGAUGCCAGUGGAGAGAUUAUUUUAGAAACUGUGGAGCUUUGUGACACUUGGGAGGCAAACAUAUAUGCAUAGCAAGGUAAUGCAUUAGGAAAUUGUAUAUUCAAGUGAUAAAACUGUUUAAUUCAGUCUAAUAUUUAUAUAUGUUAAAACAGAUUUCCAGCAUUUACAAAGUCAAACGCCAAUUGAAAAGAAAAAUUUACACUAAAGGUCUAUCACCCAUAUCCUUCCUCCCCAGGCCCUGGAGAAGUGCAAAGAAGCAGGUUUAACCAGGUCCAUUGGGGUGUCCAAUUUCAAUCACAAGCUGCUGGAACUCAUCCUCAACAAGCCAGGGCUCAAGUACAAGCCCACCUGCAACCAGGGUGGAUCCCGACUGCCCACAUCUCUUGGAGGAGCCGAUCUUGAAAUCCAUUGCCAAGAAACACAGUGGAAGCCCAGGCCAGGUCGCCCUGCGCUACCAGCUGCAGCGGGGAGUGGUGGUGCUGGCCAAGAGCUUCUCUCAGGAGAGAAUCAAAGAGAACUUCCAGAUUUUUGACUUUGAGUUGACUCCAGAGGACAUGAAAGCCAUUGAUGGCCUCAACAGAAAUCUCCGAUAUGACAAGUUACAAUUGUAAGUGAUGCUUGUAGAUUCUCUCACAGGCUGUUUUCUGUAGUAUGCAGGGAAAUGGGGAACACAUCUUCCCUACAUCAGGAAGACAGGCCCAAAUUCAGGCAUGGGGUGAAAUAGGAGAUGCCCUGUAGCCUUCAGACCAGAGGUUUCCUCCAGGACUCAAUCUCUGACCCAGCAGAAAUGUGUCUGUAAGUGAAACUGCCAAUGUCUGCACCAUUGUGAAUCCAAUUCUUGAAGGCCCUUACUAUCUGUGCCUGGGUCUAGCACUCAGGGCCCACUGCCUAUGAGUCUAGAAGGCUCAGUGUGUAGGACCUACAAACCUAUAGGGGCCCAUCAUAACGUUCUCUUUAAUUUAUAUUAAAAUCAGAAGAAAAAUGAAUACAAUAAUAAUGCAUAUGUAAUAAUGACUCCAUCCAGCUCUAUCUUUGUGUUUACAUCAUGGCAAUGGAAACACAAUUUAAGUAUUAAUACAGGAUGGGCCCAUGAAGGCAAAGGUGCCUGUCUCCUAGGGAAGCCUUAAUGUGGUAUUCCCUCUUCAGGAUACCAACUAUUUCUGCAAAAAUUUAUGUCUUUCUUGGCCCUCUUUACCUACCACAACUCCCAUUUCCUCAGCUAUAUAAUCUCACCAUGCUGAAUUGUGAAUGAAUUAUGAGAUUAAUAGACCCUCAAAUGCUAGUGACUGAGGUGUCAAUAGCCUUUACCAAGAUAAGAUCCUUUGGAGUUUCUCUGGAUCCUCAAGGCAUGACUCUUACUCCAGUGUCAUCUUUGUCCACCUGAAGUCCACCUCUGGAGAGCCCAACAUCCCUUGACUUUGGUUUAUUUAUAAACGUGACGUUCCAGUUGCUCAACUACUGCAGGAUCUCAGGACUAAGGAGAGAGAAGGCUAAAUAGAGAGGAGUUUAGAGGAAAGUUUAGAAGCAGGGGAAAUACAAUUUUGGUUGCCAGAGUAAAGACUCAGUCUCCAAAAAAGAUCUGAAGAAUCCUCCUUUAUGUAAAACCACACCAAGAUUCUGAGAGGAAACAUUUUCAAUGAGAAAAAUGUGGGAAGUAACUUUUCUGUACCCAGAGGCUAAGUAUAAGUCUGUGAUCUGCCUUAUGAGACUGUGAAUGCAUUGUCUUACUCAUGUCUGUGGCCCUGUGUCAAUAUGACUCCUGGCACAUUUAACUGCUUAGAAGGUACUCUUUAAUGUCACCCAAUUAAAAAGAACAAAUUGU